GACGAACGCUGGCGGCGUGCUUAACACAUGCAAGUCGAACGGAAAGGCCCUGCUUUUGUGGGGUGCUCGAGUGGCGAACGGGUGAGUAACACGUGAGUAACCUGCCCUUGACUUUGGGAUAACUUCAGGAAACUGGGGCUAAUACCGGAUAGGAGCUCCUGCUGCAUGGUGGGGGUUGGAAAGUUUCGGCGGUUGGGGAUGGACUCGCGGCUUAUCAGCUUGUUGGUGGGGUAGUGGCUUACCAAGGCUUCGACGGGUAGCCGGCCUGAGAGGGUGACCGGCCACAUUGGGACUGAGAUACGGCCCAGACUCCUACGGGAGGCAGCAGUGGGGAAUAUUGCACAAUGGGCGGGAGCCUGAUGCAGCAACGCCGCGUGCGGGAUGACGGCCUUCGGGUUGUAAACCGCUUUCGCCUGUGACGAAGCGUGAGUGACGGUAAUGGGUAAAGAAGCACCGGCUAACUACGUG
rnacentral:rRNA from 1 species